GAUGAAGAACGUAGCGAAAUGCGAUACGUAAUGUGAAUUGCAGAAUUCAGUGAAUCAUCGAGUCUUUGAACGCACAUUGCGCCCCUUGGUAUUCCGGGGGGCAUGCCUGUUCGAGCGUCAUUACAACCCUCAAGCUCUGCUUGGUCUUGGGCGUCACCGGUCCCCGGUGUGCCUUAAAAUCAGUGGCGGCGCCAUCUGGCUCUAAGCGUAGUACAUACUCUCGCUACAGACGUCCGGUGGAUGCUGGCCAGCAACCCCCAAUUUAUCAAGGUUGACCUCGGAUCAGGUAGGGAUACCCGCUGAACUUAAGCAUAUCAAUAAGCGGAGGA
rnacentral:misc_RNA from 1 species